GCACGCUGGCGUCGGUACCACGCGGAUAAUCCGCGUGCUCCACGAUCGAACGACCCAUGAUCGAUUUUGUGCGCGUGGACGAUCCGGAUUUAUUUUUCCCUUAGACGUGAUUGGAUGGUCGAGAUCAAUCACAAUAGACGAUCUAGAUUCAUUUUCUCUUUAGGUGCGAUCGGACGAACGAGAUCAAUCGCGAUAGAUGGCCUAGAUCAACGCAGAAUAGGUAUAAAUACUUCGCAUCACAUGAAAACCCAAACUCUAGCCUCUAGCCCCCACCGGAGAAGAAGAACCAGGCACCAAAGAAAGAGGCCGACUGACGACUGUUGAUUCACCGGAGCCACCG
rnacentral:lncRNA from 1 species